UGGGGAAUUUUGGACAAUGGGCGAAAGCCUGAUCCAGCAAUGCCGCGUGUGUGAAGAAGGCCUUCGGGUUGUAAAGCACUUUUGUCCGGAAAGAAAUCCUUGGCUCUAAUACAGUCGGGGGAUGACGGUACCGGAAGAAUAAGCACCGGCUAACUACGUGCCAGCAGCCGCGGUAAUACGUAGGGUGCAAGCGUUAAUCGGAAUUACUGGGCGUAAAGCGUGCGCAGGCGGUUUGCUAAGACCGAUGUGAAAUCCCCGGGCUCAACCUGGGAACUGCAUUGGUGACUGGCAGGCUAGAGUAUGGCAGAGGGGGGUAGAAUUCCACGUGUAGCAGUGAAAUGCGUAGAGAUGUGGAGGAAUACCGAUGGCGAAGGCAGCCCCCUGGGCCAAUACUGACGCUCAUGCACGAAAGCGUGGGGAGCAAACAGGAUUAGAUACCCUGGUAGUCCACGCCCUAAAACGAUGUCAACUAGUUGUUGGGGGAUUCAUUUCCUUAGUAACGUAGCUAACGCGUGAAGUUGACCGCCUGGGGGAGUACGGUCGCAAGAUUAAAACUCAAAGGAAUUGACGGGGUCAUAGCUGUUUCCU
rnacentral:rRNA from 1 species